rnacentral:rRNA from 1 species
AUGAACGCUGGCGGCGUGCUUAACACAUGCAAGUCGAACGGUGAAGGCGGAGCUUGCUCUGCUGGAUCAGUGGCGAACGGGUGAGUAACACGUGAGCAAUCUGCCCCUGACUCUGGGAUAAGCGCUGGAAACGGCGUCUAAUACUGGAUACGAGCUGCGAAGGCAUCUUCAGCAGCUGGAAAGAAUUUCGGUCAGGGAUGAGCUCGCGGCCUAUCAGCUUGUUGGUGAGGUAAUGGCUCACCAAGGCGUCGACGGGUAGCCGGCCCGAGAGGGUGACCGGCCACACUGGGACUGAGACACGGCCCAGACUCCUACGGGAGGCAGCAGUGGGGAAUAUUGCACAAUGGGCGAAAGCCUGAUGCAGCAACGCCGCGUGAGGGACGACGGCCUUCGGGUUGUAAACCUCUUUUAGCAGGGAAGAAGCGAAAGUGACGGUACCUGCAGAAAAAGCGCCGGCUAACUACGUG